rnacentral:rRNA from 1 species
AGAUUGAACGCUGGCGGCAUGCCUUACACAUGCAAGUCGAACGCGAAAGGGGGGCAACCCCCGAGUAGAGUGGCGAACGGGUGAGUAAUACAUCGGAACGUAUCCAGUAGCGGGGGAUAACCUCUCGAAAGAGAGGCUAAUACCGCAUACGACCUACGGGUGAAAGAGGGGGAUCGCAAGACCUCUCACUAUUGGAGCGGCCGAUGUCGGAUUAGCUAGUUGGCGGGGUAAAAGCCCACCAAGGCUACGAUCCGUAGCUGGUCUGAGAGGACGACCAGCCACACUGGGACUGAGACACGGUCCAGACUCCUACGGGAGGCAGCAGUGGGGAAUUUGGACAAUGGGCGCAAGCCUGAUCCAGCCAUGCCGCGUGAGUGAAGAGGCCUUCGGGUUGUAAGCUCUUCGGCGGGACGAAAGGUCCGUGUUAACACAUGAUCCAUGACGUACCGCAGAAGAAGCACCGCUAACUACGUAGCCAGCAGCCGC